UACAGAGGGUGCAAGCGUUGUUCGGAAUUACUGGGCGUAAAGGGCGUGUAGGCGGCUUAGCAAGUCAGAUGUGAAAUCCCGGGGCUUAACUUCGGAAGUGCAUUUGAAACUGCUAGGCUAGAGUGAAGUAGAGGUUGGUGGAAUUCCCAGUGUAGAGGUGAAAUUCGUAGAUAUUCGCAAGAACACCAGUGGCGAAGGCGGCUCACUGGGCCGAUUCUGACACUGAGGAGCGAAAGCGUGGGGAGCGAACAGG
rnacentral:rRNA from 1 species